GGCGAACGGGUGAGUAACACGUGAGUAACCUGCCCUUGACUUUGGGAUGACUUCAGGAAACUGGGGCUAAUACCGGAUAGGAGCUCCUGCUGCAUGGUGGGGGUUGGAAAGUUUCGGCGGUUGGGGAUGGACUCGCGGCUUAUCAGCUUGUUGGUGGGGUAGUGGCUUACCAAGGCUUUGACGGGUAGCCGGCCUGAGAGGGUGACCGGCCACAUUGGGACUGAGAUACGGCCCAG
rnacentral:rRNA from 1 species